rnacentral:rRNA from 1 species
AGCAGUAGCCGCGGUAAUACGAAGGGGGCUAGCGUUGUUCGGAAUCACUGGGCGUAAAGCGCACGUAGGCGGAUACUUAAGUCAGGGGUGAAAUCCCGGGGCUCAACCUCGGAACUGCCUCUGAUACUGGGUAUCUUGAGUCCGGGAGAGGUUGGUGGAACUCCGAGUGUAGAGGUGAAAUUCGUAGAUAUUCGGAAGAACACCAGUGGCGAAGGCGGCCAACUGGCCCGGUACUGACGCUGAGGUGCGAAAGCGUGGGGAGCAAACAGGAUUAGAUACCCGAGUAGUCCCUGUCUCUUAUAA